rnacentral:rRNA from 1 species
CCUACGGGAGGCUGCAGUGGGGAAUAUUGGACAAUGGGGGCAACCCUGAUCCAGCCAUGCCGCGUGUGUGAAGAAGGCCCUCGGGUUGUAAAGCACUUUCAGUGAGGAAGAACGCCUGGUGGUUAAUACCCAUCAGGAAAGACAUCACUCACAGAAGAAGCACCGGCUAACUCCGUGCCAGCAGCCGCGGUAAUACGGAGGGUGCGAGCGUUAAUCGGAAUUACUGGGCGUAAAGCGCGCGUAGGUGGCUUGAUAAGCCGGUUGUGAAAGCCCCGGGCUCAACCUGGGAACGGCAUCCGGAACUGUCAAGCUAGAGUGCAGGAGAGGAAGGUAGAAUUCCCGGUGUAGCGGUGAAAUGCGUAGAGAUCGGGAGGAAUACCAGUGGCGAAGGCGGCCUUCUGGACUGCCACUGACACUGAGGUGCGAAAGCGUGGGUAGCAAACAGGAUUAGAUACCCUAGUAGUC